AAAAUCAGCAGGUUGUUAUAAGCAGGUGUGCCUAUGGAGUUGUUUGCUCCUGUGUGAGCCUGCUAGGUGAGAGAAGCCAAGAGCAAAGAAUGAAGAAGUUGCCAUGCUUUUAAAGUCAUCAAAGUUGAUGGCCACAAUCCGCUCUUGCACAGAUCACCAUCUGCACUCAAGAUGAGGAACCAUCAGGAAUGAGGAGGUGAUCAUUUAGAGCCAUUCCAGUACUUCAGAGAUGAAACUUUCGUGAAAAGAUGGAUAGGACCAAAUUGCAAAGAUCUGGAGACCACAUCACCUCCCCAUGGCAAAAAUACACCAACUUGGAAAAAAUUACCAUACCAAAGGAGAAAAUAAAAUAAAAUAUUCUUUCUGUUGUAGAAUUUUUGACC